GGGGGCAUGGCUCAAAUGUAGAGCACUUGCUUUGCAAGUACAAGGCUUUGAGUUCAAAACCCCAGUGCUUCCA
rnacentral:tRNA from 1 species